UACGAAGGGGGCUAGCGUUGCUCGGAAUCACUGGGCGUAAAGGGUGCGUAGGCGGGUCUUUUAAGUCAGGGGUGAAAUCCUGGAGCUCAACUCCAGAACUGCCUUUAAAACUGCAUAGCUUGAAUCCGGGAGAGGUGAGUGGAAUUCCGAGUGUAGAGGUGAAAUUCGUAGAUAUUCGGAAGAACACCAGUGGCGAAGGCGGCUCACUGGACCGGUAUUGACGCUGAGGUGCGAAAGCGUGGGGAGCAAACAGG
rnacentral:rRNA from 1 species